rnacentral:rRNA from 1 species
AAGUAGCUUGCUACUUUGCUGACGAGCGGCGGACGGGUUGAGUAAUGCUUGGGAACAUGCCUUGAGGUGGGGGACAACAGUUGGAAACGACUGCUAAUACCGCAUAAUGUCUACGGACCAAAGGGGGCUUCGGCUCUCGCCUUUAGAUUGGCCCAAGUGGGAUUAGCUAGUUGGUGAGGUAAUGGCUCACCAAGGCGACGAUCCCUAGCUGGUUUGAGAGGAUGAUCAGCCACACUGGGACUGAGACACGGCCCAGACUCCUACGGGAGGCAGCAGUGGGGAAUAUUGCACAAUGGGCGCAAGCCUGAUGCAGCCAUGCCGCGUGUGUGAAGAAGGCCUUCGGGUUGUAAAGCACUUUCAGUCAGGAGGAAAGGUUAACGGUUAAUACCCGUUAGCUGUGACGUUACUGACAGAAGAAGCACCGGCUAACUCCGUGCCAGCAGCCGCGGUAAUACGGAGGGUGCGAGCGUUAAUCGGAAUUACUGGGCGUAAAGCGUACGCAGGCGGUUUGUUAAGCGAGAUGUGAAAGCCCCGGGCUCAACCUGGGAACUGCAUUUCGAACUGGCAAACUAGAGUGUGAUAGAGGGUGGUAGAAUUUCAGGUGUAGCGGUGAAAUGCGUAGAGAUCUGAAGGAAUACCGAUGGCGAAGGCAGCCACCUGGGUCAACACUGACGCUCAUGUACGAAAGCGUGGGGAGCAAACGGGAUUAGAUACCCCGGUAGUCCACGCCGUAAACGAUGUCUACUAGAAGCUCGGAGCCUCGGUUCUGUUUUUCAAAGCUAACGCAUUAAGUAGACCGCCUGGGGAGUACGGCCGCAAGGUUAAAACUCAAAUGAAUUGACGGGGGCCCGCACAAGCGGUGGAGCAUGUGGUUUAAUU